AGGUUAAGUUAGAAAGGGCGCACGGUGAAUGCCUUGGCACUAGGAGCCGAUGAAGGACGGUACUAACACCGAUAUGCUUCGGGGAGCUGUAAGUAAGCUUUGAUCCGGAGAUUUCCGAAUGGGGAAACCCCCUAUCCGUAAUGGGAUAGGAUCUUUACCUGAAUACAUAGGGUAUGGAAGGCAGACCCGGGGAACUGAAACAUCUAAGUACCCGGAGGAAGAGAAAGCAAACGCGAU
rnacentral:rRNA from 1 species